GUGCUCGCUUCGGCAGCACGUAUACUAAAAUUGGAGCAAUACAGAGAAGAUUAGCAUGGCCCCUGUGCAACGAUGACAUAUAAAUUUGUGAAGCGUUCCAUAUUUUG
rnacentral:snRNA from 1 species